GAAGUAUCUUGGUUGGCCAAUCAUGUUAAUGAGCGGGAAGAUGCAUCCAAGCACAUUACUCCUGCUCCUCGCAAGAUCUCAGAGUCUGACAGCACUGGUGAAGUUGAAGACACAUUUGAGUUCAUAGAGAAUCCACCACAGGUGAAGUUUAAACUCAAGAAGAACAAAAUGGGUCCAAGGAGUGUUUCUCUUCAGACUAUUGCCACAGAUGGCGAGGAUGGCCCGAGAGGGCGGAGACGGAACCAGAAGAAGACCUGUAUUCAGUCCUGAGGUAUCUGUGCCAGAGGAAUCAACCAGAACGUGUGCUUAUACAGUAGAUCAGGAUUUUGGAUACUAGUACUGGUUUCAAAAAGAAUAUUAACAGUAUAUACAGUAAAAAAAAAAAAAGAGGAAAUUUUCUUAAUUAUGUUCAGUUUGGAAAAGACGUGGAUAGUGAUUCUCCCUACAAUAAUAUUGAUUCAGCUGUCAGCUGAAAAACUAAAUGUUGAUGCUGUGAUUUUAAAUGGAAGUGCUGCUGACACUGCGAGGAGAUGGUGUCAGAAAAAAAACAAAUGACUGAACUAUAGUGCGCAUACAGUGAUCAUGUGACCUCCUGCCAGUUACAGAGCUCAUGGGUGGACUGCAGAGAUCUAUGAAUGAAAGAGUCUGAAAAUGUAGCAUGUUACACAUAUUUCCUAUUUACCCAGUCCUAAUCAGUUGCACUCACCCAAUCCUCAAGUCUGUGGGAAAAGUUCCACAGCAAAGCUGACAGAUUACAAAUGAAAACAUGACUGAUCAGUUACCAUUAAAGGUGUGGUAUCUUUUACCAUUGCUCAACAAAAUUCAGCCAUUUCACUAGGAAUCUGUAAGAUUGGGAGAUUUGCUUGAGGGUGAAAAGGUUCCCCAUGCAGGUUUAAUUGGUUCACCUGAAAUCGCUGCAUUUGUGUUUAAGCUGCUUGGUUUGAAAGUGACUUUGAAACCUUUAAACCUUUUUGCACUUGAAAUUUUGCUGAAAUUUUGUUAGUGUGACAUCAUCUUAAUUAUAUCAAUGUGUUCAAAAAAUAAAUAAAAAUACAGUCCAGCAAUGUAAAACUUGUGGCUUUAUGUUUGCAUGGAAUGAUUUGUACACUUUUAUAAUUUUAUAAAUAUAAUUUUCUGUACUGUUCCUUUAAGGAUUCACACACAACACAUUUUUGAUUUUACAGAUGCAAAAACAACACAGCGGAAUGUUUAAGAACGUCUUGAGAAGGGGUUUUUAUAAUAAAAAGCAUACAUCUGUUUUGCAUUUUUACAUAAAAAAAUAGCAACGCAGCACAGUGGAAGGCAAAAAAAUGUGUUCUGUGUGAAUUUAUGGCUUAUGGAAAUAAUAGAUGUUAUGCAACUGUUUUUUUGUUUUUUGUUUUUAGGUCAAGAGUGCCAAUAAAUAAAGUGAGGUGGCCUUAAAUAUA